GCAUUUUAUAUUAUUAUUUUGGUCCCAGCUUGUUGCGUUGAUUGGUCUAUAUGGCCUGUAAUAAUUCAGUUGGCAUGGACAUGGGGAUCUUGAGCCUACUUUCACUCCCACAAAUGGUUGCUUUGGAUAUUAAGAUGCCACUUUUAUUUCGUCACCCAUGCAUUGUUUUGCAUUCAGAAUUACCUGCUAGAUAAUAUUACCAUGCCUAUUAUUAAUGUGUCAUAAAGACAAGCACUUCACCAGCUAAACCACUUGCCAUGUGGUUAAUAUUUACGGUUUGGCCUUCAGAAAUUUCAGAUGGGAAUGGUCUCCAAAUUUUAAGAAAAGUUUGUUUGGGAGCAGUCAUUUAUUUAUUUGUUAUUAUUCACUACAUAUCAAGUAAGCUGGUUGUGAAAUUUACAUUGACUUCUUGUGAUAUGAUGUAGGUAUUAUUAGCCAUUGACUCUAUUUAUGUUGCCUUUCGGCUCCACAAUUGACCUGAUUUAGAGUUGAUCCAGAAUUUCAUUAUAUUACCGCAGAAUGUGCCUCUGAACAUAGUUUCAGUAGUAGUGCCACUUGGAGAGAUCAACAUUAUUUGUUUACUCAUCCAAUGAAGGUCUUGCUGCUACACGAAUUGCUCCUUUUGAAACAGCUGGUCAGAGUUCGAGGGAUAAACAUUCUAUGCUACUUUCAUAUGCUGGAUUUAUUCUUUUAUGAGUAAUAUUGGAAGUCGAUAUGGAAUAACCUCUGGAUCUCGAGAGAACACCCUGUACAAUGCUCUUUGGGUUGCACAGGCACUGCUGCGCAAAGGUGCAGUUGAAGGAUUGGUGCUGGUUGGAGGGUGCUCCGGUUCCUGCAUGGUGAAUUCCCUCCCAGGCAUCAAAAGAUUAUGUCAAUGCAGCCAUUGGCAAUAUGAAAGCGGCUUCACAAGUUCGGUGGAGGGAGCUGUUAUAACCCUAAAUUCCAUCAACACAAAACUAAUCUACUUAUACCGCCAUCACUAAACUACUGCUAAACUACGAUAUAUGAUAAAUGUUGCACUUUUGUUUCCCUUCUACCUUUAGGGCGAGGCACAACGUUGGUGCAAUGAGUAAACAUUUGUAAUAGUUUCGCUACACUGCGAUAUAUGAUAAAUGUUGCACUUU